UACGUAGGUGGCAAGCGUUAUCCGGAAUUAUUGGGCGUAAAGAGCGCGCAGGUGGUUAACUAAGUCUGAUGUGAAAGCCCACGGCUUAACCGUGGAGGGUCAUUGGAAACUGGUUGACUUGAGUGCAGAAGAGGGAAGUGGAAUUCCAUGUGUAGCGGUGAAAUGCGUAGAGAUAUGGAGGAACACCAGUGGCGAAGGCGGCUUCCUGGUCUGCAACUGACACUGAGGCGCGAAAGCGUGGGGAGCAAACAGG
rnacentral:rRNA from 1 species